UUGGGAGAACCGGGCCUGACCCGGUGCCGAAGGAGCAACCGCCCCGGAAACUCUCAGGCCUCAGGGACCGGU
rnacentral:ncRNA from 1 species